GUGUGUACGCCACUGAUAGUGUCCCUUUAAAACUUGAUAUACACACACACAUACAGACAGACAGAUACAUACAGACACAUACACAUAAACACACACAUACAUACAAACAGACAGGAACACAUAUAUACAUACAGACAGACACACACACACAGAAACAUACAUACAGACCUACACACACACAGACAGGCACACAUACAGACACAUACAUACAGACCCACACACAUACAGGCACACAGACAGACAGACACAUACAUACAUACAUACAUACAUACAGACAGAC